ensembl:lncRNA
CUGCUGCUUAUCUUCUGUCACUGUGUCAGCUGGGACAGCCACGCAGGUGCCCCUUUCUAUCACGGAGAUAAAAGCUGUGACACAGCCUGGCAGAGCCCAGGAGCUGCUCCCAACCUCUCAUCCCAUCCUCGUGCCCUCCAUCAGAAAACUACAGCCCGAGGAAGCGGCUCGGAGGCAUCUCGAAGACUUGGAUCUGGUUCCUGGCCUCGCGGAAUGAGAAUCCGGAGACUGUGCUCACAUUUCCAUGGCUGGGGGUGAUCUCCGUUCUGUGGCAGGAGCCUGGAGCCCGGGGAUUGAAGAGCUCUGCUCCUCGGCUUGUGAGACAGAAUGACCGCAGGUGCUGAGAGAGAGCAGGAAAUCAUCUUUGUAAAGCUGUCCAGAAAGCCUUGAAUUCAGCCUUAUCUGGAGGAUUACCCCACGCUGUUCAGUUCUUGGCAUUCAGCUCCUCUGCAGUCCCCAGCUUCAGCACAGGAAACUCCUUCACCUAGCUGCUGCCAGCAUGCUUUUGGCGACCCUGGCUGUCCCGUCAGCUGUUACAGGCCAUUAAAGGAUUUGUUUCUCGGCGUAUGAAAAGGCUUAAUUCAAUUCUCAUUCUCUUCUGGCAUUCCUCGGAGAGCCUUCUAGGCUGUCAUCUACUUCUGGCUUCGCUCAGACUCUGCAGUCCAAAGAGUCAUGUGCAGUGACCCGCCACCAUCCCUGCUUCAGACUCCAGAGUCAGGUAGUUAGAUGAUUCCCUUUCAUGUAAGUACUUUUUUAUCUUUCUUAUCUGUGGAGGGAAGCCAGCACAAGUCAUCUUUGAAGGUAAGGAAAAUGGAACCAAUGUUUUGUAUCCCAGAAAUCUCAUUAUUUUCCAACUAAUCUGCUGACCUCGAAUGCAGGGGUUUGGCAGUUUCUUUAAGGGCUGUUGCUAAACAGAGCAGAAGCAGGUCCAUCUUGGGAAAGUCUGCAUGGGUACAAUAUGAAUUUUCUGUAAGGUGAAUUCUUUGGGCUGUGUCAGAAUGAGACACUGUGGGUGACUUGCCUUUGUCUCAAGCUUGAUGGUAGUUGCCUUUGUCUCAAGCUUGAUGGUAGAUUUCACAAGAGGAAAAAAGUGUGUUUAAGAAGUUACUUGAUGCUGAUCUGUCCAGAGUUUUUUUCCCAGGCUGGAUUUAGGGAAGGAUUAUCUCAGAUUUUCAUUUAGUUCUGAAAUCCUGGGUAUUGGUUUUAUAAACUAAACCCCCUUCGCAGCAGGUUGCUUGUUCUGUAUUGUUGUUUUAGCUUGGUGCAUAGAAAGGAAUUUAAAUUCACUGACAGGGUGGGGCUAGCUCCUCGCUGGGGUAAAUCAGCAUAGUUCAGAUAUUUAAAGGCAGAUGCAUCAGUCCUGGCAGCCGAGGAUCUGGCUUACUUUGAUUAAAAUCUGAUGAAGAUUACUCAGCCUUACCAAGGGACUUGGAUUACCAUUCUAUAAAAAGAAGGGCAGGAGAGCAGAGGACAUUAAAUAUAAAAAUAAUCCAACGAAGGAUGUGAAGCUAAAAGCGUGGCACGUUGAACAAUGAUGCAAACACCCUACUGAAACAGGUGGAGGGCCGCAGGGCUGGUGGGUGCACGCAAGGCUGGAAGCUAGGUUUGAGUCAGAAAGACAUUGCUCUUGUCACAGCCCUGGUCUUGUCUUUUAAAGGCAGAAUGUUCAGAAAGAGAGCCUCGCUCCUUAGAAAAUCCCCAGCGGAGUCUUGCAGGAGAAGAAGUGGGUGACAAAUCCUCUGCCUCUGCUUCCUCGGGGACCCAGGCUAGUGCCAAAUCUCACUACAAAGAGGUGAUUAGAGCUGAGGAACAGAAAGUCAGCUCUUACAGAUCUGAAAGCUUGAAAUGUGCAUCGUCUUUAGGGUUUCUUACAGAGGUUGAACUUCACCUCUCCCUUCUAUCGCAGCGUUCGUUUUCCUGGUUCUUUGUUCCUUUGAAAGCAUGAAGUGUAUUUAGGGGCUGUUAUUACUCCACGUGAUUGUGCUCCAUGGGCAGUGACCGAUAGAAGGGCUGCAAUGAGCCCUUUUUUUUUUUGGCCUUUUAAACGUUUCUGUCAAACCUUUCAGCACAUGUCUAGCUUUCCCAAGAUUUCGUAUCCAGUCCCUUAAAAUCAAUACAGUCUGGUCUUGCCUCUGCAGUGGAGCUAUUGAUAGGGAAGAUGCACUUGGGUCUUCAUCUAACUGCCUUUUGAAGCCCCUAAACCCAUUUGUCUCUUCUUUUGAUGGAGCUUGCUGCCUUGCUCAAUGGCUUGCUUGCAUAGGAAGCACCUUCCUUGCUGACCUCUGUUAAAAACGUGGAAGGUCUUCAAGUAGAGUUGCAGGACUUGUGAUUUGAGUGUCCUUCUUUACCCAGACCAAGGAGAACAGAGUGCAUGGUGCGUUGGCCAUUCUGGAAUCUGUCUAGGGUGGCUGGAAGAUGCUUUAAUGGUGUCAGAAGGCUCCGGGAGCCUGGACAGUGAGGUUGAGCGGCCUUAAGAACGUUGCUGACUUAAACUGACGCAUCUAAAUGCGCUGGAGGAAAGACGAGAGGGCUGUUUGGGGACCUCCUGGGUGAUUACAUACAUGGCUGGUCAGCGACAUCGCCUGAGUGCCCCGGCAGCUAUGCCAGUCUUCCAGUUUUCUUUCAUUGCAGUUCGGGUCGGAUGAGGAUAAGAUUGUGUUUUAAUAAGUGUUUGUUAGGGAGUGCUUCCCCCCCCGCCUCCCACCCGCAUGAAACUGUUUAUUUUCCUUGCAGUAACACGUGUGUUGCUCAGCUUCUGCUGUUCCAUGUGUCGUGCUCUGUUACUCUGCCUUGCUCGCAGCCGCAGAGCAGGGGGAACGCUGCCAAGGCUUUUUCUGGGAAUUUGCUCUGGUCGUGCUGCUUCCCCGGGAGCACUCAGCGGAUGCAUGUUGUUUGCAGGGGGGGGGGAACACUCAAAUGUCAGCAUCUGAAGGGAUCACGAAGGAAGCAAGGCGAGCACCAACUACUCUUCCACCUCUCAGAGGUGCCUGCAUACACACAGCCUUGGUAAGUGGUGGGCGAUGACUUGUUGAGAAAUGAUAUUGCUAAGCAGUAAAUGUGACCCUCUUGUGCUAUUUCAGAAAGAGAUUUUGCGUAAGGCAGCCUGCCCCAAAUUGCCAGCUGCAAAAAUGGGGGCUGCAUGUGGCAGUGAUACCCCAGCCAAGUUCACUCCUCUCUCUUGCUGAGAUGCAGUUGUAUUUUCACUUGGGCUGGAUGCAAAACAGUGCUUAAAACACCACAAAUUGAGAUGCAUUGGAGAACACCUUUUUAAGUCACCUGCCUUCUUGUUGCAGACACGAUUAUACCUACGCAGACUAAACUGCUGCAGGGAAGGCAGAGACGCAGUGCUCACUGCGGCUGCUUGGGCCGUUCAUUUGUUAGCAUGGGUUUGGAUUUCUGAUGACUCAGAAGGGAGCUCGGCUUCCUCUCAGCUAUUUGCAGAUCUAAAGAUCUGUUGUACUGUGGUUGUGAACCAGGACUCUGAACGUUGUGCAGAGCUGGGACCAAAAGCUGCCUCAGUCUCAGUAUGUAAAAGCAGUGAACUGGUUUCCACGUGUUGGCUUUCCACGUGUUGGGUUUGUAUGGGGCACUCACAAGCAACUCGCAGCAAAACAGUAAGGUGAGUGCUUGAGAGGGGUCCUUGCUGUUUGCAUGGGUUUCUUUCAGGCUAGGGUGAAGGUUAAAUAUUUCAAGCUUCUUGUUGAAGCCUCAGGAGUAGAAUUAGAGAGAUGAAUGCGGUGCAAAUGCCCUAACUCCAGGGGCAGGUGCUUCACUGCUGUGAGAGCUGGCAAUGCUAAAUAUCUCAUACUUUCUGACAUACAAUUUCUUCCAGACCUGGAGUGUUUUACCCAUUAUCCUCAUAUACAAAACCUGAGGAAUAUGUGGUGGUAAAGCCCCUCUUUGUGUGGUACAUACACGUGAGUCUUUUGUACCAGAUUUGUAACAGCAGCUGCAGAGCUCUUCACCAGAACCACAUGGUAAUGGUAAGCAGUGGUCACUGGUUUGCAUAGCUCCAUGGCCUGCAGCACCUCUGUGCACCCACUGCAGGUACGUAGCCUCAGCUCUGGGUACAGUACGUCUCUUCACGCUGUGCUCUGAGCUCCUGGGCUACACUUGAUCAUCUAUUCCUACGUGGGUUUUCCUACCUGGGUUUUCUCUUUCCAAGGUCUCAGACCCAGCUGUACCACCCUUCCCUCUUAUCUUCAGCUUGCUUUCCUGAGAAAACAGGGUUAAUGUGUCUGGCUCCCUCUUGCCCACCCCUAAUAACUUUCCAGCCUGAUGACUGAUUCCAGCUGUGUGUGCCAGAGAUCUGAAAGAUAAUGAGUUCCUACUGGCUUGAUAUAAAUAGAUGGCGAGGGGAAGACUUUAUCUUUUCCCCUCUCUGUCGGGAGAGUUCAUUCCUUAUCAGUCCAAGAGCAUCUGUGUGAGGUGAAACAAGAGAUGUUAUGAAUGCCUAUGGGGAAAGCUGCACUUGAAGCUGGUAUCCUACUGCGUCCUGGAGAACCCACCUGUGAUGUGGGGGUUCCCAUUGGAGGGGGCCCUUCCAGCCUCUGGCAGUUGGCUGGGGGCAGCUUUCCCUGCAGCAGCACUUGCCUCCCCCAGGCCACUCUGUUUAAUCUAUUUAAAGCUCUUUAAUCAAAACCUAUGUCUACGGACCCUGGUGUCAAUGGCCCAGCUUCCGGGUUUUUUUUUUUUUUAACUAUUUUAUGUCCACAGCAUGGGAUGGACUUAAUUGCCAAGGGCUGGAAGCGGGACUGCAAAGGUAUUUUAAUUACAUCUGAUUGCUGCAUUCUGCAGCCUUGCUCUGUCAGUUGUUCUACCACGGCACUGUGUAGAGCCCACUUGGACCAGCGCAGGCACAUUGGCUGUGUGUGGGCUGAUCACAGAGGAAAACAGCAGUACAUCGGUCUGGACGUCAUUGGGGCUGUAUCUUUUCUCUCUACUCUGACUUUAGGGCAACAGAUUCUUCCCCAUUAGAGUACUGUAGUCCUUCCAUAUCCACGUCACUUAGAAGCAGUAGUACCAAAUUCACCCUGCUCUAUUGCAUGGGCAUCACACAGGCAGAGCAGGAGUACUUGCUCUAAGGAGAACCUGCUUUAUUGCUCCAGACACAUCCCUGCAAGACUUUUCCCCAGCUCCUUUGUUGGUUUCAAGGCUGGUCAGCCUCAAGGGUCUUCUCUUUUUUUUCUGUCAAGUAGGAGUGCUCUUUUACUGUAAGGGAAGGAGCUGUCUCUAAGUCUAUUCGAGGGAGGCAGGAGGGAGUGAAACAAGAAAGCUGCUGGCCUCUCUGUGCUGACAUACUCAAAUUGGACCCUUGGGGGCUGGAUUGGUGCAUGGAGUAAGCUGAAUCCCAUGGAGGGACAGGCAGGAGCCCUGCAGGUAAGGUAAAGCACCUGCUUGGAAGUGUCUGCUCACCAAUGGAGAGCAGCUCCAGCCAAGCGUGUAUGAAACGAGGGUAACUAUUGCAUCUUCACCUGGCUCUAGCUGUAUUUUCAGUAGUGCUCAGGCCUGGCAGUAUGCGCACCUCUACCUGGAUGUUUUCUGGUGCAUUCAGCAAGUGGCAGCUCCCAGAGCCCAGACUCUGACCUGCCUUAUCAAAGUGUUCAGCACGCAGAAGGCAGAGAAAGGGCUUGAACCUGACCCAGGGCCUGGGGAAAGGAAAGUCCAAAGAGGAGGAGGGCAGAGAUGCAACCCUGCUGCAGAUUAUAGACGUGUUUUGGUUGAGAUUCUCUGUGCUUGAUGCAUUGUCUGCCUGCAACGCAGGGCAAACUCUACUCCUCCCUUCUGGCCCGGCCUGUAAUGAUGGAUUAAGUAGGUAAGUAAUAGAGUGGUAAUGAGAUAACCACUGACAUCGAGCAUUAACGUGGGAAUAAAUGAAGUUACCAUCCAGAACUAAUGGCCUGAACUAUCACUGGGUUGUAAUUAAUGAACGUGGUGGCUGAGAUUUACAAGGAUAUUUUAGGAUGCUGUUUGCAUGCAGCUUUGGCUUUUAUGGCUUGGUUGGAAAGAAAUCAAUUAAUGCCAUGAACUUAAUGAAUGAGAUGACGAUGUGCUUUGUCAGAUUGUAGUGCCCCUUUUGUGGAAGCGGCUAGACUGGUGUGCACGUGGAAUGCUGUUGUUUGCCUUACUUCAAGGGACGGAAGAAGUUAGGAUACUGUGAUCUCUGUCUCCCUAGGUCACUUACUCUGUAGUGUGUAGUGGAGCUGUUGCAAAGUGUCUCUGAUGGCCAAACUACACACUAGUGGUGUGCCUGUGCUCAAGAGGCCUUGCUUGGAGAGCUGUCCCUCUCUCCUUGCAUGGCUUAGUAGGCAUGUGACCCUGCCAAACACUUUGGAUAUGUGUGAAUAACACUUUUGAGGUGGUUGCUAGGCUGUUGCAGAAAACACAGAAGAGCAGUCAAAAUUCUUCACGUUAAUUGGUGGGAACAAUCCAGCCAUCUCUGCUGACUGUUGCUUCUCUCAUCUUUCCAUGGCAACAGUCUCUCUACAGCAGCCCAGGUGCUCAUGGUUGGGCAUGCUGGGAUUUCUGAGCCCUCUGUCUUCCAAAUCACCCCCUUGGAGCAUGGAGGGAACAUCUGUACCGCUAAAGUAUGGCAUCACACGAUGCAUCAAAGACAUCUCUUUGUGUAAUCAUGUUCCUUAUGCUGUCAGAGACAGAAAACUUUGGGAACGUGAACUGAACCCUUACAUUUCUUCAGUGCAAAUGCUGUUGCCCUGUUUUUUGAUGAGGAGAGGAAGGUGCUGAGUCUUUCCUGUCCUGGCCGUGUCCAUGGACCGAGCUGUCAUACCAUUCUGAGAGCUGGAGGAAGGAAAGGGACUGGUAAGCAAAGGGAAGGAUGAUGUCUCUCUCUCUGCCACAGAGCCCAGCCUGACUGCUGGUGUCAAGUUGCCUUUUGGAAGCCAGGAUGGUGGCUGGAGGUGAGAAUAAGGAGAGAAAGUGGCUCAGGCACUGCAUCGUCCUCACCUCUGCUCCCUGCUGUGAAUAUAAGCGUGUGGAGAUAGCACAAAGAGGGGUGCUGCCCACUUCUAGCAGGGUAGAGUAGGCACUUUUAAUGAUUCUAGGGGAAAAUGAGAGACAGAUGGCCAGUGAUGAACCCAGUCCAAAGCUGCCCAGACUUGAGGGAGGGUGUCGUUUCAGCUGGAAGCAUCACAUCUUUGAGGUGCACGCUCAGUAGUUCCCUUCCACGCUGAGCAGGAGGAAGGAAUUUCCACCUGCUGGACCAGCGUAAGCCAAGACCCAAAUUGAGCAAAGUAUGGUUCAUGGAUUUACACAUUAUGUGAUAUGCACCUUCCCUUCCCCCAGCUUUGGGAAGUUUAUUGCCCCCAACAAAGUAUGCCGUGUGGCAGGCUGUUAUGUGACAGGGGAAAAUUACCCAGACUGUUCUCCAGAAGGCAAGUGAGCAAAAAUUUUCCUCCAACUGGUUCAGGACAAAGUUAAUGUAGGAAAGCCAUUAAAAUUAAUGCUGGUAAUCAAGGAUAAAAACCAGCAGGGCUGUAACAAAAUUUGGACCAGAUUGAGUUUCCCAGCUGUCAUGCUGCAUGCUUUCUUAAAGGCAGCAGGCAGAGGGAGGGUGUAGUGUAAGGCAGGCUUGGAAAGUUCUUGUCAAGGGUGUGAGUUUGGGGGCAUCUGGAUUCUGGUGGCAUUGGCUCCUUGGUCCGGCACUGUCUUUUUUUGUUUUUGAGGAAGCAAUGUCUCUGCUUGGUCUGAUGGUCCUUAUGACUUGUGUUUUAUUCAUAUCAUGUUUACCUGCUUUCUUCCAGAGUCUGCCCUCAGAAUUCAGGUCCUUCUCCAGGACUCUGGGAACCUGCCUGCGUGUGAUUGACGGCAUCACGUGAGCGUGUAUGGGGCUGCAUCUCAUGCUGUCGGGUCAGAGAUUACCUCCAAGCAGCCAAUACUCAAUGUUCAGUUAGAAAAGAUGCAAAGAAGCAGAGCCAUUCCCCUCUCUGUGUCAUCUGCCUCUGAGAGUGGGAGAGUGCUGGCAGAGCGCUACCGGGUCUGUACUGGUAUAGAGAGGAAGGCUCAGAUUUGAUGAUUUGUCCAUUAUCUGGUGGUGGAUACAGCCUAACCUGGGCUCAGAGCAUCCCAAGGUCUGUAUCCUAGUGCAGGAACUGGCUGCUGCUGCUCUCUUCUGAAUAGACAGCUUUCUCCAGCCUCACAGCAUGCUAAUGUAGGCCAGUCACCUUCACCACAACUCCUGGCGCAAGAUAUUCAGCAGACUUGAUGCUUCAUAGUAGGCUGAAUCUGGUAUAACCAAGGCAGAAUUUCUACCUGCCAGUAGUGAAGUAAUGCCCUGUGAUUUCAAGUGACCACUGGUUUGACAGCAGUAGUGAAAGGGAAAGGCAUGAAUAGGCCGGAUAUCAGGAAAACCUUCUCAGGAGUGAUGAGGCUGUGAAAUGGACUGCCCAGGGAGGUGGUGGAGUCACUGUCCCUGGAGGUGUUCAAGAACUGUGGAGACGUGGCACUGAGGGACGUGGUUUAGUGAGCAAUAAUGGUUGAUGGGUGGACAGCUGGAUUAGAUGGGUCCGACUAGAGGUCCUCCAAUUAGAGGUCUUUUCCAAUCUAAAUGAUUCUAUGAAAGCAGUCGACCGUUUUCUUGCAGUCUCUGAGAAGCUUGGAUAUGGUGUCUGAAACGAGCUAAGGAAGCCACCUAAUCUCUGAGCACAUCCACCUUCUGCAGCAUACACCCUUCCAGCCACAAAGAGGUCCUGAGUCCCUCAGUGGCUGCAAAGAACAGCAGGUAGAUGGAGCAGACAGAGAUGGAGAGCAUUCUUUUGUUGCUUUUUUUUGGGGGGGGGGGAGUAUCGUUGAAGAAUCAGGGUGACAAAAAUAUUUUGAUGGAAGUGACUAUGUGAAAUAUCUUUUCAUUUUGAUUAUUUGAAAAACAAAAACUGUUCAUGGGUUUUAAAAUUCAUGUCCCCUCCGGGUUGCUUUGUUUUGUUUUGUUUCUUAUUCCUUCUCCCUUAUUCCUCAGAGGAAGCCAUCCAAACCUACACGGUGCGUCAUUUCUUGAGGAAAUGCAGUGUGAUCUUUUUUUCCAGUUUAACCUGGGCUGAAAAAUCUUCUGGUGUUUCAUUUGCCUGAGAAAUCGGGAAAAAAAAAGCUUGGAUGAAACAGGAAUCUGGCUGGUUCACAGGGAACCUUCUUGGUUUUGGAGACCCACUUGGGUGGGGUAGCUGCAGGAGCUCUUUGUUGUGCAGGCUGGGGAGGAGGUGAUGCCAUCUUUGCCUGGGCCAUACUUUGUGCCCAAUGCCUCCUCCAGGGGUGAGGGGCAUAAGGGGUGCAGAGCUGUGUCUUGGUUGCAGCAGGGAACUGCUACCACUGAAGUAUGAUUCUCAGCUUUCUGGAGUUGUGGAAAACAUCUGGACAAUGGUUGAAAUUGGAAGAGCGAAGGGCUAUCCUGGCUUUUGAGGGCAUAUCAUGGGAUGUCCCGCAGGUGGCUUGUUGGAGGUGAACCACAGAGGGAGGACUGCACUGGAGAGGCAUAGAGGCUCACAUGGGACGGGAGUGGUGGCAACUGCCUGUAUGCCUGGAAGCAGGGCAAGCAGUGGACUGGGGGUGGAGGAGACCACCUCCGCCUGUUGCUGCCAUCUCCACGAGCUGCCAGCUCUGCCGUGUAGCUUUGCCCAGAUCUGCAGUAGAGCUGCUCAUCCCCAGCCCUGCCAUCCCUGUGCCCCACAUGCUGCCUCUCCUAUAAAUAGCCGGAUGGGAAGCAGAGCGCAGAGCCGCCGCAGAUGGCCCCCAGUUCCACGCGCACUCAUGUGUGAGAUCCCAGAGAGGGGCUGUCAAUUCCUUGCCUACAGCCACCCAUGCAACCUCAUUAAGGAUGGUGUCGUCUUCCUUAACCCCCAUCGCCCCCUCCCUCCCCACUUCAACGUGCCUCCAUUUGAGCACCCUUAUUAAACGUGCACUUCUAAGCAAGGAGCGCUGACUUCCCCUUAAUUGAGGCAUAAUAAUUAGAGCAUUAACACAUUAGGAGGGUGAGACAGCAUGUUUAGCUUUUGUGAUUAAUUAUCUGAGGAUUGUAAUAAGUUGUUAAGACAUUAAUUACUCUGGCAUGUUUAUUGCUCUUUAUUGCAGAACUGACACUUGGUGGAAGAGUUGCUGGUGUGCCUGGCGGUGCACCGUGAGGUGGGCUGGCCAGGGGAGACCUCUGCUCCCCCAUAGGCACUGAGCUGCUGCUUGGGAAUGGAUCUAGGGGAGCAGAAACAGCUCCUGAACCUCCAGCAGGACACCUCGGGAUGGAAGUGGUGUCUGAAUCUCUUAGAGUCGUAGGAUUAUGAAGGUUGGAAUAAAACACUGAGAGCAUCAGCCCAUCCCCACCGUGCCCACUAAACCAUGUCCCUCAAUGCCGCGUUCUCCCUCAUCUUGGGGCAGCCUGGGAGCUGGAAGGCUUAUUUUUAUGGAUGGUUUCAGCUGGAUUUCUCUCUUCUUUCAAACAAAGUGUUUCCUCUCGGAUGGUUUGAGCCUGCCCUCAUUUGGAUCUUUGUUUUUGCAAAUCCAAGUCAGCGUGGCUCAUUGUGCCUGGAUCUGAGGAGGAUGGCUGUCUGUUAACGACAAGCUGAAGUUCAGCGUGUCGGCGGUGGUCAGGGAGUGAACCAGGACCCCAGUGGCCUCGCUUGGCUCUUGAUCAGAUGAAUUUUCUUCUGGAGAGCUGGGAGGUGGGUUAGGGAAGGCUGUUGCUGUGGCAGCAGGAGUGGAUCAGCCCUCUGCAGCCUGUUCUUCACACAGCAAGCUGCUCAGCGACCUGUCAGAGCUGUGCUGAUCAGAUGGGGGCUGAAGGCAGAGUUCAGAGCAGGAGGAUGGGUGGGUCCAUGUGCUGCUGUGACAGAGAAAAAAGGAAGCAGGAGGCUGCGAUGGGCCUGUUCCAGCCUUCUGCUUUUCCCAUGAGUUGCACAGUGCCAGAGUCUUGCUGUCCAGCUCUUUGGGUGGGGGACAGCACAGGAGAAAUGGGGGGAAAUGGAGUAACAGCCCCAGCCACUGGCAUGGAGAAUAAAACUGGGAAAAUGGUGAAAGUCGAGAAGGUGAGAAAGCUGUGAGUUUUGUGUGUUUGCUGUUGGUUUGAUAUUGGAUGGCCCCAUCCCUGCCGACAGCCAAGGUCAGGCUGGAUGGGCUCUGAGCACCACUAGGGCUGUGAGUGUCCCUGCUCAGUGCAGGAGGGUUGGACCAGAUGGCCUCUGAGGGUCCUUUCCAGCUCAAAACGAUGCUGUGGUUCCUUGGGGAGCCCUAGAGCUGAAAUGUCUGGUUUCCAGCCUAUGGCAGUGCCCUUGUGGCUUUGCAGCACGUGCUUGUGUCUUGGGUAGCAGCCAAGGGAGUGGGAGGGGGUCUUUAAAUGUGAAGACCCUGUCCGGUUCGCCUUUCCUAAGGACAGACUG